AGAACGAACGCUGGCGGCAGGCUUAACACAUGCAAGUCGAACGCGUGUAGCAAUACACGAGUGGCGCACGGGUGAGUAACGCGUGGAUAUCUGCCUUUUGGUUCGGAAUAACCCCGGGAAACUGGGGCUAAUACCGGAUGGUUCCUACGGGAUAAAGAUUUAUCGCCAAAAGAUGAGUCCGCGUACGAUUAGCUAGUUGGUGAGGUAAUGGCUCACCAAGGCGACGAUCGUUAGCUGGUCUGAGAGGACGAUCAGCCACACUGGGACUGAGACACGGCCCAGACUCCUACGGGAGGCAGCAGUGGGGAAUAUUGGACAAUGGGGGCAACCCUGAUCCAGCCAUGCCGCGUGAGUGAUGAAGGCCUUCGGGUUGUAAAGCUCUUUUGGCGGGGACGAUGAUGACGGUACCGCAGAAUAAGCCCCGGCUAACUUCGCGCCAGCAGCCGC
rnacentral:rRNA from 1 species